UCGAGGAUAUUUAGCAAUGGGGGAAACCCUGACUAUGUGACGCCGCGUGAGGGAUGAAGUAUUUCGGUACGUAAACCUCUUUCGAUGGGGAAGAAACGCUGUUGUUUAACGCAACGGUCUGACGGUACCCAGAGAAGAAGCCACGGCCAACUCCGUGCCAGCAGCCGCGGUAAUACGGGGGUGGCGAGCGUUACUCGGAUUUAUUGGGUGUAAAGGGCAGGUAGGUGUCUUGCCAAGUUGGAAGUGAAAUCCUGCAGCUUAACUGCAGAACUGCUUCCAAAACUGGCAGGAUUGAGGAUAGAAGAGGAGAGCGGAAUUCCCGGUGUAAGGGUGAAAUCUGUAGAUAUCGGGAGGAACACCAGUGGCGAAAGCGGCUCUCUGGUCUAUCCCUGACGCUAAG
rnacentral:rRNA from 1 species